ACGGAGGGGGCUAGCGUUGUUCGGAAUUACUGGGCGUAAAGCGUACGUAGGCGGCUUUGUAAGUUAGAGGUGAAAGCCCAGAGCUCAACUCUGGAAUUGCCUUUAAGACUGCAUCGCUUGAAUCGUGGAGAGGUUAGUGGAAUUCCGAGUGUAGAGGUGAAAUUCGUAGAUAUUCGGAAGAACACCAGUGGCGAAGGCGACUAACUGGACACGUAUUGACGCUGAGGUACGAAAGCGUGGGGAGCAAACAGGA
rnacentral:rRNA from 1 species